rnacentral:rRNA from 1 species
CAGAAGAAGCGACGGCUAAAUACGUGCCAGCAGCCGCGGUAAUACGUAUGUCGCAAGCGUUAUCCGGAAUUAUUGGGCUUAAAGGGCAUCUAGGCGGUAUAACAAGUUGAAGGUGAAAAGCUGUAGCUCAACUAUAGUCUUGCCUACAAAACUGUAAUACUAGAGUACUGGAAAGGUGGGUGGAACUACACGAGUAGAGGUGAAAUUCGUAGAUAUGUGUAGGAAUGCCGAUGAUGAAGAUAACUCACUGGACAGAAACUGACGCUGAAGUGCGAAAGCUAGGGGAGCAAACAGGAUUAGAUACCCUGGUAGUCCUAGCUGUAAACGAUGAUUACUGGGUGUGGGGAUGAGAAGUCUCUGUGCCGAAGCAAAAGCGAUAAGUAAUCCGCCUGGGGAGUACGUUCGCAAGAAUGAAACUCAAAGGAAUUGACGGGGGCCCGCACAAGUGGUGGAGCAUGUGGUUUAAUUCGACGCAACGCGAGGAACCUUACCAGACCUUGACAUCGCCGGGAGGUCAUAGAAGUAUGACUGUGCCUUCGGGAACCGGUAGACAGGUGGUGCAUGGCUGUCGACAGCUCGUGUUGUGAGAUGUUGGGUUAAGUCCCGCAACGAGCGAAACCCCUAUCAUUAGUUGCCAUCAUUAAGUUGGGGACUCUAAUGAAACUGCCUGCGAAGAGCAGGAGGAAGGUGGGGAUGACGUCAAGUCAUCAUGCCCCU